UGGAGUUCCUCACUAUUUUCCAGCCAUGUCUGCGUCUUUUAUGUAAUUCAAAUACUGAAUCAUUCGUUAGUUUUAACUUAUUCUUUAGCAGCUAGAACUAGUAAGAAUGUACUUCGUCUGACUUGAAAAUGCUUUUCAUGUUGCUUCUUUUGUUGCUUAUAAUCUAUUGUGUAAAUGGUUCCCUUUCGUGCUUGAUGAAGUUUGGAACUGAUAGUGAAAAGAGCAAUGGUUUAUGUACUGUGGGAUUCGCUUUUUUUGUGAAAGUUUUAUGCAGCUUAAAUUGUUUGCCAUCGAAAUCUCAAUAUAUGAGUAUUUUUCAUGUCUCUUAGGUACGUGGUGAAUGUGAAACAGCAUCCUAUCUGCAAACAUAAUAUAGCUCCUGUUAGAAUCAAUCCUUUUGAUUCGCAUUUGAAAAGGGCGGGGAAAAUGAUAUCUUAUUGUAAAAUGUUGGCGGUGAGAUUGGAACACUGUAUUAAGUCUCUGCUAAAACUGGCCAGGACUGCAAAUUUUUCCUUCCUUUUGGUUGAUUGGUCACGACUGCAUUUGACUCAACGGAGUACAUUGUCUUGUUCGUAUGUCAGAGUCUUUUCCAGUAUGUAUCCCGAAUUACAUUUUUCUUGCAAAGUGUAGAUACGUUGUACUGAUUCCAAAAUCAUAAGUUAUAAUAGGAAUUGAUAAUUUCUUUUAUCUCCGUCGUUAUGUUUGAAAGCUUUAUCAGAAAUUGCUUCUGAGCGACUUUCAAAAUAUUCUAUUGUCAAUUGUAUUGAUUGGAGAUAUUGCAGAACUGAAGUUUGUACUUUGCCAUGAUUACGUUCUCAUAUAAUUUGCUUUUAUCUAUGCGCUCUACUUCUGAAUCUUACAGGAAAGUGCUUCAUUGAUCUUUGCAGGCCUGAAAAAUUGCAUGAGAAAAGGAUACUACUAUGUUGAAGGUGUUGAAGAAUUGCUUUAUGUAUUAAAAGAUAACAACUACGAGAUGCAUGCUUUCACAAACUAUCCCAUCUGGUUAGAUGAAAAUUCGACGAUCUUGUUUUCUUAUUAAGUCAAGCAAUUUAUCAUGUUUUCAGGAAAUUGAUUUUGUAUGCAUGAGAUGAUCAAGGACAAACUAAACGUAUCAAAAUAUUUAUCUUGGACGUUUUGUUCAUGUAUAAACGGGAAGAGGAAGCCCGACCCAGAAUUCUAUUUGGAAGUUGUGAGCCAUCUAAAAGUUGAUCCGGGAAGCUGUAUCUUUGUCGAUGACAG